rnacentral:rRNA from 1 species
AGAGUUUGAUCCUGGCUCAGGACGAACGCUGGCGGCGUGCUUAACACAUGCAAGUCGAACGAUGAGGCCUAGCUUGCUAGGUGGAUUAGUGGCGAACGGGUGAGUAACACGUGAGUAACCUGCCCUUGGCUCCGGGAUAAGCGCUGGAAACGGUGUCUAAUACUGGAUAUGACUGAGUAUCGCAUGAUGCUUGGUGGAAAGAUUUAUCGGCCUUGGAUGGACUCGCGUCCUAUCAGCUUGUUGGUGGGGUAAUGGCCUACCAAGGCGACGACGGGUAGCCGGCCUGAGAGGGUGACCGGCCACACUGGGACUGAGACACGGCCCAGACUCCUACGGGAGGCAGCAGUGGGGAAUAUUGCACAAUGGGCGCAAGCCUGAUGCAGCAACGCCGCGUGAGGGAUGACGGCCUUCGGGUUGUAAACCUCUUUUAGUAGGGAAGAAGCUUUCGGGUGACGGUACCUGCAGAAAAAGCACCGGCUAACUACGUGCCAGCAGCCGCGGUAAUACGUAGGGUGCAAGCGUUGUCCGGAAUUAUUGGGCGUAAAGAGCUCGUAGGCGGUUUGUCGCGUCUGCUGUGAAAUCCCGAGGCUUAACCUCGGACGUGCAGUGGGUACGGGCAGGCUUGAGUGCGGUAGGGGAGAUUGGAAUUCCUGGUGUAGCGGUGGAAUGCGCAGAUAUCAGGAGGAACACCGAUGGCGAAGGCAGAUCUCUGGGCCGUUACCGACGCUGAGGAGCGAAAGCAUGGGGAGCGAACAGGAUUAGAUACCCUGGUAGUCCAUGCCGUAAACGUUGGGAACUAGAUGUAGGGGCCUUUCCACGGCUUCUGUGUCGACGCUAACGCAUUAAGUUCCCCGCCUGGGGAGUACGGCCGCAAGGCUAAAACUCAAAGGAAUUGACGG